rnacentral:rRNA from 1 species
UACGGGGGGAGCAAGCGUUGUUCGGAUUUACUGGGCGUAAAGGGCGCGUAGGCGGCCAGCACAAGUCAGUUGUUGAAAUCAUCCGAGCUUAACUCGGAAAGGUCAACUGAUACUGUGCGGCUAGAGUGCGGAAGGGGCAACUGGAAUUCUUGGUGUAGCGGUGAAAUGCGUAGAUAUCAAGAGGAACACCUGCGGCGAAGGCGGGUUGCUGGGCCGACACUGACGCUGAUGCGCGAAAGCUAGGGGAGCGAACGGG